GGGAAAACUGAGUGUGCGUACGUUGGAGGGGCGUGCGUGCCCCCUCCCUCCCUCCACCCUCGCAGGAAGGCUGGACCCAGGUUCGCAGGCCGAGAGCUGGAGUCGGCUGAGGGCGCGCACCCCUGGAUCAGGCCGCCGCGCGAGGUCCUGGAGGGCAGCAUGGGGCCAGUUUUGGCUUCCCACGUUCCAGAGCACACAUGUAAUCAGUAAAAUCGAAGAGGGGUCAGCAAGAUCACAGCCUGCAAAGGCCCUUGCCUCCAACCCUACCAACCUGAGUUCAUCCCCAGAACCCUCAUGGUGGAAGGAGAGAACCAACUCCUGAAAGUUGUCCUCUAACCACCUUCUCUGCCAACAAGUGAUACAAAGUUCAAACUUGACCCAGCCAAGAUCUACAGAACAGAAAGCUUCAAAAAUUGGGUGACUAAGCCAGACUGGAUCCUCAGUUUUCUAAUUAGUCUAGGCAACCCUUGGUGCCAUAAAACAUAAUUUGCGAGAUUAAAGUGGCACUGACCUUCAAGAAGAGGCGGAAAUACAUGGUGCUGAAAAGCAUGGGUCCAACUACCAGACCAUGGGCCAAGAAUCUCAAGCUCCAUCAACCCCUGCUGAAUGGUUUUGGCAUUACAAACAACAUUGCCAUGGACAUUCUUGUGGCUGGUAGACAAGAAAGCUGUUAUAUAUAGGAAUGGAACACAUGGAUCACAAGGCAGGCAAGCAAAUAAACAAGUUGCCAAAAAAGAACUUCAGAGUUGGUCUGUGGCCUAGGUGAUGCAACCAAGUUUUAGAUCUUCCCCUCCCAUGAGUGGCCUCGGACCUGAAUUUGGAUUCAUGUAAACACACAGAUAACACAAGAGAUGACUGGGCCAUUCUGGGUAAAAAUUUAACUUUUUUACUUAGUAAAUGAACAUGAAGGAAUUAUGAACAACAAGAUGGGCUCACUGCUGAUGACUACUAACAGUCAGUCUGCACCAGAAAGCCAGGAUAAAGAUAUGCCUACACCUGUUUUGUACCUGGUGACUGAGUUCUUUAAAGAAUCAAAAUGGACAUUUCCAAGACACGUGGCACAAAUUCUUCAUAGCUGUCACCGAGUUUUUCCCUUUUGCUCCCUAUACAGUGGAACCUAAUACCAUAGACACAUGGUCUAGCCUGCAAAUGGUCUGCUUGAAACUUGAACCUGUCUGAUAGAACAUAAAUCUGCCAGAUACCUGUAUAAUCAGGGUGCAGAAUAACAAAUAGGGCUUCUAGCAGUUUAACGGAGAGCUUUAGCACUCUACCCCUCAUCCUUCCUGUUUCCACGGCCCAAAUAUUAAAACAGAAAAAAAAAUUGGUUAGGAAAAGUACCAAUAGUUUUAUGAUACCAUCCUUUUUUAGGUCUUAAAGGGGAAUAGUGAAUUAACCUUCUCUAAGCUGUUAGUGAUAUUUUUAAAGAUUCAAAAAGUCCUCUGUGUUUCAGAGGGCCAACUGCAUGGCCCAUACCCCCACAUUCUGAUUAAUAAGACUAUAAUAAAUUUAGAAGUCACUACAAGAAUCUGUUGUUACUUCGGCAAACUUCUCUUCUGCCAAGAGGUCAUAACACCAAGCCCUCUCAAAUAGACAGCGGCCAUUUCCAGUUAAGUACCCAGUUGCUGCCUUGGAUAACAAGCUAGAGGGUGCUAGGAUCACAACUUUAACUCCUUGAGAAAGCCACCAUGUGCAUCCUAAGAUAUGAAAUACAAAAUCCAGAAAAAAAAAAAAAAA